CCUUUCUCAUCCUACCAGCCCAAUACCAUAUUAUUUUUAACUCUUAUGCCUUCAACAACAAAAACUUAACUACAGCAAAUUUUAUUUUAUUUUUUUUACUGAUUCCAUUUUUAAGGGUAAAACCUCAUUCCACCACUUUACCAGUUUACCAUUUUUCUCGAGUCCUCACCGUUUUGAUCAGAUACGUCACCCACGAGUCCACGACCUGAGAAUCCAACGCUCUUUGAUCUCAUCAGCCAUUUUCACCAAAACCCAGUAAAACCAGAAGGAGUUCUUCACCAAAUGCCCUUUUACCUCUUCAACCGAUAGCCAGGCUUUUUUUACCCUUUCGAGGGUUCAUGUUCUUCCAAAUCCAAAAAGGUUGAAUUUUUUUCAACGGCUCAGAUUGCUGCUCAUCUAAUAUUUGCGAUGAGGAUGAUAACUCUAACUUAGCUGCCCUGUCCCUUUCUGCAACUUCGUUUCCACUGUUCCAUACUUCCUCAUCCAACCUAUAUGAUCUUCUUCAGUUGCCUUCUCAUCACCUCUCUGCUUCUCUUUCCUUUACAUUCCGAAGAUCCCAUGCAGAUUUUGUUUGAUUAAGGCAUAAAGAAAUAUUAUAAUAGGUCGUCAUUUUUCAUUUGAGUUGUUGAUCCAAUGCUAGCAGCAAAGCUGCCUGUGCGAACAUUUGCACGUUGUAGCACUUUCUUGGUCCAUAUAGAUGGUCCUGUAAUGUCUCAUUUAGACGAAUCACUUGCUUUUGCCAAUUUCACAAGCACUGGAACCAAUACACUGAAAAAAGGAGCUGAACAUUGGUGCUCCGGGUGGAGGAGUUCUACAUUCAAAAGGGGCAAUGAUGAGUAUACAAAAGACGCAUUCCUAUGGAGAAGACAAACUAGGAAUGUGUCACGGGGAGAUAUUGUGAAAAAUCAAACACUUACAAGAUUGGGAUUGAAUAACAAUGCUGGGUGUUUUUCAAGUCGUCAUUAUAGUUCCCAUUUGAAGGACAAAGGCACGGGGGAAUUAGUAAAUAAGUUUCUGCAAAAUAUUCCAGAAUUUGUCAAGAUAGUUGAAGUUGGUCCACGAGAUGGAUUGCAGAAUGAGAAGCAUAUUAUUCCCACCGCUAUAAAGGUUGAAUUGAUAAAAUUGCUAGUUUCUUCUGGAUUGCCUGUUGUCGAGGCUACAAGUUUUGUCUCACCAAAAUGGGUUCCACAGUUAGCAGAUGGAAAGGAUGUGAUGGAAGCAAUUCGAAAUCUUAAAGGUGCAAGAUUUCCUGUAUUAACUCCCAAUCUUAAGGGUUUUGAGGCAGCUGUUUCUGCUGGUGCUAAGGAAGUAGCUAUAUUUGCUUCAGCUUCUGAGUCCUUUUCAAAGUCAAAUAUCAAUUGUAGCAUUGAAGAUAGUCUCAUCCGUUAUCGUGGUGUUGUUCUUGCUGCGAAAGAGCUUUCAAUUCCUGUUCGUGGAUAUAUAUCAUGUGUUGUGGGGUGUCCGGUGGAAGGAAAUGUUUCUCCAUCACAGGUAGCAUAUGUGGUCAGAGAGCUUUAUGACAUGGGUUGCUCGGAGAUUUCCCUUGGUGAUACAAUUGGUGUGGGUACUCCUGGUACUGUUAUUCCAAUGCUUGAAGCGGUCACUGAUGUUGUACCCAUCGACAAGCUUGCUGUCCAUUUUCAUGACACUUAUGGGCAGGCUCUUUCAAAUAUAUUAAUUUCUCUCCAGAUGGGCAUUGCUACAGUGGAUUCGUCCAUCUCUGGUCUUGGAGGCUGCCCAUAUGCUAAAGGUGCUUCUGGAAAUGUUUCGACUGAGGAUGUUGUGUACAUGCUCAAUGGUCUUGGAGUAAGGACUGAUGUGGAUCUUCAAAAACUAAUAUUGGCUGGGGAAUAUAUCUGCAAGCAUUUAGGACGCUCAUCUGGUUCAAAGACAGCGGUUGCUUUGAGUAAAGUUUCUCUGUUGGCCUCCAAACUAUGAGAUAAAUACAAGAAACAUAAUCAAAGAUUUUCUUUAUGGAAAACCCAAGAUGUGGUGGGCAAGUUCUGGAAGCUUCUUCUGCGGCUGUAAGUUCUUGUAUACCUGCUUCGGAAAAGCGAAAGCGAAAGCCAACAACAGAUUAAGAAAGAAACGAAAUAAGGUUUGCAGUUACGGCAACAGGUACACCAUGUUCAUUAAAUAGGUAAUACAUCAAAAGUCGGAAAUUAUACAAGAAUAAACACAUUUGUGAAUAUAUAGAAAUGAUUUCUGCAGAUUUUCAAACACAAUGUGGAACACAAGUUGGUAUAACAAUGCAGAACACUAGUGUAGUGUUAUCUUAUUUGUACAUUUAUUUGGUUUUAACUCCUGACCUUAAUUUAAUAUUUUUCUGUCA